AUUGAACGCUGGCGGCAGGCCUAACACAUGCAAGUCGAACGAGUGGCGGACGGGUGAGUAAUGUCUGGGAAAAUGCCUCAUGGAGGGGGAUAACUACUGGAAACGGUAGCUAAUACCGCAUACCAUACGAUUGGCCCAGAUGGGAUUAGCUUGUUGGUGGGGUAACGGCUCACCAAGGCGACGAUCCCUAGCUGGUCUGAGAGGAUGACCAGCCAAACUGGGACUGAGACACGGUCCAGACUCCUACGGGAGGCAGCAGUGGGGAAUAUUGGACAAUGGGGGCAAGCCUGAUGCAGCCAUCCCGCGUGUAUGAAGAAGGCCUUCGGGUUGUAAAGUACUUUGGGCAGAGAAGCGUUAUCCGCAGAAGAAGCACCGGCUAACUCCGUGCCAGCAGCCGCGGUAAUUC
rnacentral:rRNA from 1 species